GGGUUGUGAGGUUAAGUGACUAAGCGUACACGGUGGAUGCCUAGGCAGUCAGAGGCGAUG
rnacentral:rRNA from 6 species